UUGGAGGGCAAGUCUGGUGCCAGCAGCCGCGGUAAUUCCAGCUCCAAUAGCGUAUAUUAAAGUUGUUGCAGUUAAAAGCUCGUAGUUGAAUUUCGGGAUCAUCAGGUUGGUCGUGCCAUUGGUAUGUACUAGCUUUGGUGGUUCCUACCUCUUGAAGAACCGUAAUGUCAUUAACUUGGUGUUGCGGGGAAUCAGGACUGUUACUUUGAAAAAAUUAGAGUGUUUAAAGCAGGCA
rnacentral:rRNA from 1 species